GUGCCAGCCGCCGCGGUAAUACCGGCAGCUCGAGUGAUGGCCACUCUUAUUGGGCCUAAAGCGUCCGUAGCUGGCCGCGCAAGUCCGUCGGGAAAUCCAUCAGCCCAACUGAUGGGCGUCCGGCGGAAACUGUGCGGCUUGGGACCGGAAGAUCCAAGGGGUACGUCCGGGGUAGGAGUGAAAUCCCGUAAUCCUGGACGGACCACCGAUGGCGAAAGCACCUUGGAAGGACGGAUCCGACAGUGAGGGACGAAAGCUAGGGUCUCGAACCGGAUUAGAUACCCGAGUAGUCU
rnacentral:rRNA from 1 species